rnacentral:lncRNA from 1 species
CUCACAGCAGCCUGCGAGGACUUGCGCUAUACCGCUCCCGCCUGCCUCACUUUCCACGCCCGAGUGAAGCAAAGCGUUUGGAGAGAUCCAAGAGGAUCAUUGUAGACACCGGGAUUCCGGCCUGACCAGAGAGAGACACCAGCUGUGUAAAGGAGCGACUGACAAGUACUUCUGAGCACCGGCUGUGUGCUGGGCUCUAUUCUACAGGUAGGGGGCAUAGCAGGUCUCUGCCCUCAGAGUACCUAUGGUCUAGUAAGACUGACAAGCAGACAAGUAAAGACACAAAUAGGAGAGAGAAUUUCGAGACUGUGACAAGUGCACUGAAAGAAGUAACAGGGCGAGGUGGUGUGGGAAGGCCCUUCUGAGGAAGCAGCAUGUGAGCCAGAGACCUGCUGGCUGAGAAGAAGGCCACCACAGUAAGAGCCAGGAGAAGAAUGUUUCAGCAGAGGGAAGAGCACGUACAAAGGCCCUGAGGUGAGAAGAACCUUAGCCUGUUUGAAAAACAGAAAGGAGACCAGUGUAGUGAGUAAGGGUAUGUAUUCGUUUCCUAUUGCUGCUGUAACAAAUUUCUGCAAACUUAGUGGCUUAAAACAGCACAAAUUUACCACCUCACAUCCAUUAGGAUGGCUACUAUCAAAAAAAAAAAAAUAGGAAACAAGGAUGGAUGAGGAUGUGGCAAAACUGGAAGGCUUGCACAUUGUGGGUAGGAAUGUAAAAUAGUACAGCUGCUGUGGAAAACAGUAUGGCAGUUCCUCAAAAAAUUAAAAAUAGAACUACCAUAUGAUUCCGCUAUUCCGCUUCUGUAUAUAUACCCAACAAAGUUCACAGCAGGAUCUCAAAGGGAUAUUUGUACAUCCAUGUUCUUAGCGGCAUCAUUUACAGCAGCCAAAAGGUGGAAGCAACCCAAGUGGCCCUCCACGGAUGAAUGGAUAAAGGCAAUGUGGUUUAUCCAUACAAUGGAUUAUUAAGCAGCCUUAAAAAGGAAGGCAAUUCUGACACAUGCUACAACACAGAUGAACCUUAAAGACAUUGUUAAGUAAAAUAAAU